rnacentral:rRNA from 1 species
UACAGAGGGUGCAAGCGUUGUUCGGAAUUACUGGGCGUAAAGCGCGCGUAGGCGGCUUUGCAAGUCGGGUGUGAAAUCCCCAGGCUUAACCUGGGAACUGCAUUCGAGACUGCAUUGCUAGAGUAUGGGAGAGGGAAGUGGAAUUUCCGGUGUAGCGGUGAAAUGCGUAGAUAUCGGAAGGAACAUCAGUGGCGAAAGCGACUUCCUGGACCAAUACUGACGCUCAUGUGCGAAAGCGUGGGGAGCAAACAGG